rnacentral:snoRNA from 1 species
GCCUGUAUAUUUCUAUGACUUCUCAGAGUCCUGUGGACAUUGAGUGAGGAAACAAACCAUGCAGG